UGAAGUGGUCUGUGUGUGUGUGUGGAGUGUCUUGGGAGUGUGUGGGGAUGAUUUUGGUGUGUGCUGGGUGUUUUAAGUGGUCUGUGCAUGUGUGUGGAGUGUCUUGGUAGUGUGUGGGGAUGAUUUUGGUUUAUGUUAGGUGUUUCUAGUUGAGUUAUGGGUUUAUUUGUUAAUAUUUUGAAGUGUUGCGUAGUGUUUUGAGUGUGUUUUGGGUUAAUGUACUCACUUACUUUUGUUAGUGUUGUAUAAUUUCAUGGUAUGAUGGACGCAGCUGAGGUGGGCCUCCGCUGUGGCCAGGCAGUUCAGCCUUGCCGUCAACCCUCCAUGUGAUGAGUGAGUUGCCGGUUGAGCUGGAGUGUCCUGGUAUUGGGGGCUCGUCUGGUAUUGUAGACAACCAUCUGUGUAACCUUUUCGUGAAGAGGUCCGGUGUGACCCGUCAAGUUCCUGAUGGUGUCCGGCACAGCGUUGAAGAGGUCCGCAGAAAACGACACGCCAAUUUAUUUGAAGUCAAGGAUGGAGAUUAAAAC